GGAUACGUACCGAAUAGUUGACGAUUGCGACCUGGCAGGUGGUUUCCCGUUACGCUCGCCACUUGGGUUCGACAUGGUAAUCUUGGAGAUGAUGUGCAGUAACUGAUGGGAAAGAAAUCGUCGCUGGGAAGAAAUCGCCGUUGGAGGAUGUUCAAAAUCGAGAGAUGAAUGCGUGUUGAAAAUGAGGGUUUCAGAAUAGGAAUAAUAGAUCGGGAUUUGCACAAUCACCUCCUCCUUCCAUCCAUCGGUCUAUAGGAUGUUCUAUGUACAUCCUCUGCCGAUGUGUCAUAAACUCCCAAUCAAAGCUUGCAUGUCAUAAGAAGGGUCAG
rnacentral:lncRNA from 1 species